CAAAAUUACAGGCUGUCUUUUCUGUUGGAGUAUCAAUGAUAUCUGAAUCAAGUAUAGUACUAUCCCCAUUCUUAGUGAAGGAUUCUAUUUUAGAAAUUAUUUGGUUCUGCACAUUAGAUCUAGGUUUAGAUGAGAUAGGUCCCUGAUCUUCCCCUAAGCAGUCUGAUCCCUCCACACUACAUGGUCUUGUCAGCANNNNNNNNNNNNCAUCUGGAUGAUCAAUCCCUAUAUUAUUUUCCAUAACCAAACUUGGAGAAGGUUUGCCUUGUCCACGGCCAUCCUCAAUUUCAUCAGGAUUUACAUUUUGAGGAAAGGAACUUUUUAUUUGUGUAUUAUCACUUUCUCUAAUGCACCCAAGCUCUUGAUGAAUACUUCGAGACUUGGUACUGUCCACAUUCAUAGUUAAAGAAACCUGAUUUUUGUAUUUCUUAAUCCAGUCUGAGGGGCUUGAAUUCAGAUCAACACAGAGUUUGAUUCCCUCUUCUGAACUGACAUAAAACUCAAAAGAGGCAGGAACCUUUGUACAAGUUCUUAUUUUAGGAAAGGCAUUCUCUAUAGGACAGCCACCUACAUUUAUGUGUCCACAAUGAAAC
rnacentral:misc_RNA from 1 species